rnacentral:rRNA from 1 species
ACGAACGCUGGCGGCGUGCUUAACACAUGCAAGUCGAACGCUGAAGGCCUGGCUUUUGUUGGGUUGGAUGAGUGGCGAACGGGUGAGUAACACGUGAGUAACCUGCCCUCUUCUUUGGGAUAACGCCCGGAAACGGGUGCUAAUACUGGAUAUUCACUGAUCUUCGCAUGGGGGUUGGUGGAAAGGUUUGUUCUGGUGGGGGAUGGGCUCGCGGCUUAUCAGCUUGUUGGUGGGGUGAUGGCCUACCAAGGCUUUGACGGGUAGCCGGCCUGAGAGGGUGACCGGUCACAUUGGGACUGAGAUACGGCCCAGACUCCUACGGGAGGCAGCAGUGGGGAAUAUUGCACAAUGGGCGAAAGCCUGAUGCAGCGACGCCGCGUGAGGGAUGGAGGCCUUCGGGUUGUAAACCUCUUUCGCUCAUGGUCAAGCCGCAACUGUGGGUUGUGGUGAGGGUAGUGGGUAAAGAAGCGCCGGCUAACUACGUG